rnacentral:rRNA from 1 species
UACGGGGGGAGCAAGCGUUGUUCGGAUUUACUGGGCGUAAAGGGCGCGUAGGCGGCCAGCACAAGUCAGUUGUGAAAUCUCCGAGCUUAACUCGGAAAGGUCAACUGAUACUGUGCGGCUAGAGUGCGGAAGGGGCAACUGGAAUUCUUGGUGUAGCGGUGAAAUGCGUAGAUAUCAAGGAGGAACACCUGCGGCGAAGGCGGGUUGCUGGGCCGACACUGACGCUGAGGCGCGAAAGCCAGGGGAGCGAACGGG